rnacentral:rRNA from 1 species
GAGUUAAAUGUUCUUCGUGAACAUAGCGAACUGCUCAGUAACACGUGGAUAACCUACCCUUAGGACCGGAAUAACCCCGGGAAGCUGGGGAUAAUACCGGAUAAGCUAUAGACGCUGGAAUGCCCUAUGGUUCAAAGCUCCGGCGCCUAAGGAUGGAUCUGCGGUCUAUCAGGUUGUAGUGGGUGUAACGUACCUACUAGCCGACGACGGAUACGGGUUGUGAGAGCAAGAGCCCGGAGAUGGAUUCUGAGACACGAAUCCAGGCCCUACGGGGUGCAGCAGGCGCGAACACUUUACAAUGCGGGAAACCGCGAUAAGGGAACCCCGAGUGCCAGCAUCAAAUGUUGGCUGUCCAGAUGAUUAAAAAUCAUUUGUUAGCAAGGGCCGGGCAAGACCGGUGCCAGCCGCCGCGGUAACACCGGCGGCCCGAGUGGUAGCCGUUUUUAUUGGGUCUAAAGGGUCCGUAGCCGGCCUGAUAAGUCCUUUGGGAAAUCUGGCAGCUUAACUGUCAGGCUUCUAAGGGAUACUGUCAGGCUUGGGACCGGAAGAGGUAAGGGGUACUCCAGGGGUAGGAGUGAAAUCUUGUAAUCCCUGGGGGACCAUCUGUGGCGAAGGCGCCUUACCAGAACGGGUCCGACGGUGAGGGACGAAAGCUGGGGGCACGAACCGGAUUAGAUACCCGGGUAGUCCCAGCCGUAAACGAUGCUCGCUAGGUGUCAG